ensembl:snRNA U6 U6 spliceosomal RNA
AUGCUCACUUCAACAGCACAUCUACUAACAUGGGAAUGAUACAGAGAUUAUCAUGGCCCCUGCACAAGAAUCACAUUCAAAUUUGUGACAUGUUGCAUAUUAAA